ACUAUGGAGAGUUUGAUCCUGGCUCAGGAUGAACGCUAGCGGCAGGCCUAAUACAUGCAAGCUGAACGGUAGAGUUGUAGCAAUAUGACUUGAGAGUAGCGUAAGGGUGCGUAACACGUAUGCAAUCUGCCCACAACAGGAGGAUAGCUCUUCGAAAGAGGAAUUAAGACUCCAUAACACCAUUUGAGGGCAUCUGAGGAUGGUUAAAGUACAAGCGGUUGUGGAUGAGCAUGCGCAUGAUUAGUUAGUUGGUGCGGGUAACGGCCCACCAAGACGAUGAUCAUUAGGGGAACUGAGAGGUUGGUCCCCCACACUGGCACUGAGAUACGGGCCAGACUCCUACGGG
rnacentral:rRNA from 1 species